AGUGAACGCUGGCGGUAGGCCUAACACAUGCAAGUCGAACGGCAGCACAGUAAGAGCUUGCUCUUACGGGUGGCGAGUGGCGGACGGGUGAGGUAUACAUCGGAAUCUACUUUUUCGUGGGGGAUAACGUAGGUAAACUUACGCUAAUACCGCAUACGACCUCCGGGUGAAAUCAGGUGAUCUUCGGACCUUGCGCGUUUGAAUGAGCCGAUGUCGGAUUAGCUAGUUGGCUGGGUAAAGGCCCACCAAGGCGACGAUCCGUAGCUGGUCUGAUAGGAUGAGCAGCAACACGGGAACGGAGACACGGUCCAGACAACUACGGGAGGGAGCAGUGGGGAAUAUGGGACAAUGGGAGCAAGCAGGAUCCAGCAAUAACGAGUGGGUGAAGAAGGCCGUCGGGUUGUAAAGACCUUUUGUUGGGAAAGAAAAGCAGCAGGUUAAUACAACGAUGUUCUGACGGUAACCAAAGAAUAAGCACCGGCUAACUUCGUG
rnacentral:rRNA from 1 species